rnacentral:rRNA from 1 species
ACGAACGCUGGCGGCGUGCUUAACACCUGCAAGUCGAACGGAAAGGCCCUGCUUUUGUGGGGUGCGCGAGUGGCGAACGGGUGAGUAACACGUGAGUAACCUGCCCUUGACUUGGGGAUAACUUCAGGAAACUGGGGCUAAUACCGGAUAGGAGCUCCUGCUGCAUGGUGGGGGUUGGAAAGUUUCGGCGGUUGGGGAUGGACUCGCGGCGUAUCAGCUUGUUGGUGGGGUAGUGGCUUACCAAGGCUUUGACGGGUAGCCGGCCUGAGAGGGUGACCGGCCACAUUGGGACUGAGAUACGGCCCAGACUCCUACGGGAGGCAGCAGUGGGGAAUCUUGCACAAUGGGCGGAAGCCUGAUGCAGCAACGCCGCGUGCGGGAUGACGGCCUUCGGGUUGUAAACCGCUUUCGCCUGUGACGAAGCGUGCGUGACGGUAAUGGGUAAAGAAGCCCCGGCUAACUACGUG